rnacentral:rRNA from 1 species
GCCUGAUGCAGCAACGCCGCGUGAGGGAUGACGGCCUUCGGGUUGUAAACCUCUUUUAGUAGGGAAGAAGCGAAAGUGACGGUACCUGCAGAAAAAGCACCGGCUAACUACGUGCCAGCAGCCGCGGUAAUACGUAGGGUGCAAGCGUUGUCCGGAAUUAUUGGGCGUAAAGAGCUCGUAGGCGGUUUGUCGCGUCUGCUGUGAAAUCCCGAGGCUCAACCUCGGGCUUGCAGUGGGUACGGGCAGACUAGAGUGCGGUAGGGGAGAUUGGAAUUCCUGGUGUAGCGGUGGAAUGCGCAGAUAUCAGGAGGAACACCGAUGGCGAAGGCAGAUCUCUGGGCCGUAACUGACGCUGAGGAGCGAAAGCAUGGGGAGCGAACAGGAUUAGAUACCCUGGUAGUCCAUGCCGUAAACGUUGGGCGCUAGAUGUAGGGACCUUUCCACGGUUUCUGUGUCGUAGCUAACGCAUUAAGCGCCCCGCCUGGGGAGUACGGCCGCAAGGCUAAAACUCAAAGGAAUUGACGGGGGCCCGCACAAGCGGCGGAGCAUGCGGAUUAAUUCGAUGCAACGCGAAGAACCUUACCAAGGCUUGACAUACACCGGAAACGGCCAGAGAUGGUCGCCCCCUUGUGGUCGG